AAGACCUUGCACUUUUGGAGCGGCCGAUGUCUGAUUAGCUAGUUGGUGGGGUAAUGGCCUACCAAAGCUUCGAUCAGUAGCUGGUCUGAGAGGACGGCCAGCCACACUGGGACUGAGACGCGGCCCAGACUCCUACGGGAGGCAGCAGUGGGGAAUUUUGGACAAUGGGCGCAAGCCUGAUCCAGCCAUGCCGCGUGAGUGAAGAAGGCCUUCGGGUUGUAAAGCUCUUUCAGCCGGGAAGAAAAGGUUGCGACUAAUAAUCGCAAUUCAUGACGGUACCGAAAGAAGAAGCACCGGCUAACUACGUGCCAGCAGCCGCGGUAAUACGUAGGGUGCGAGCGUUAAUCGGAAUUACUGGGCGUAAAGCGUGCGCAGGCGGUUUUGUAAGACAGAUGUGAAAUCCCCGGGCUUAACCUGGGAACU
rnacentral:rRNA from 1 species